rnacentral:rRNA from 1 species
GAUAUUGGUCAAUAGCCUAACGGCUGAACCAGCAACUUGGAGGAAGGUAUAGCAAUAGCUAAUUGUAUUAACAAAUAGUUUUUACAAUAUCGAUUUAAUCGACUAAAAUUCUAGGUAGAUUUAUGAUGAUGACAUUAUCUAUCUAUGUGUCUUGACCAAAUUACGUGCCAGCAGUCGCGGCAAUACGUAGAAGACUAGUGUUAUUCAUCUUUAAUAGGUUUAAAGCGUACCUAGACGGUAAUUAUAGCCUAAAUCAGGUACUUCUUUACUAGAGUUAAAUGUAAGGGUGUAUUAAAGUACUGUUGGGUGUAGAGAUGAAAUUCGUUGAUACCAGAUAAUUGGCACAGAUAUAGGCGAAAGCAUCACUUUAUGUAAUAACUGACGUUGACGGACGAAGGCUUUGUGUCGCGAACAGGAUUAGAUACCCCAGUAGUCUUAGCAGAAAAUUAUGAGUGUCAUAGGUUAGAUUUUAUUUGGUCUAUAAAUGAAAGUGUAAGCACUCCACCUCAAGAGUAAUUUGGCAACAUUGGAACUGAAAUCAUUAGACCGUUUCUGAAACCAGUAGUGAAGUAUGUUGUUUAAUUAGAGAAUACGCAAAGAACCUUACCACAAUUUGAAUAUAAAUGAUUUAUUUUUACAAGCGUUGCACGGCUGUCUUCAGUUAAUGUCGUGAGAUAUUGGUUUAUUCCAUUAAAUUAACGUAAACCCGUACUCUAUUUUUAUAUAGAGUUGUUCAUUCACUAUAACGGAUGUAAUA